rnacentral:lncRNA from 1 species
AUCAUCACCAUCACCUGGCCAGAAAUGCACUUCACCUGCAGGGAAAUAGCUUUCUCUCACAAUUGCUGAAUGCUGAGAGUCUUCGCUGGAAGCAGUUGUGCCAGCAAAAAUCUCAUCAGAUUGUUUAGCCCGUAAGAACAGAGGAAGAACCUACCCUUGAGACUGAGUUAGACCUCCAGAAACAGAGCCCCAUUUAACAAUUCCUCAUUUGUCCCUGCCCCAGUGAAUUGAUGAGGCUGUGGGUUGUGCUCCAUACGUGUAGGAGAAGCGAAGGGCCUGGGAACCAGGCACCGGGAAGCUGGCAAUCCAUGCAGGAGGUUCCAAGGAGGCUCCCAGGGGCCAGCUCCCGAGCAUGAGUCACACCACCAAGCCAGACCCAGGAAAACAAGGUAAAAAUUUCCCAAGGGGUUUCUACAAGAUUUCCAGCACUUCCUAAAUUAGCCCUGACCAGUAAAACCACGAGAGAAGACUUCCUGGCAGAGCCUGGCACUUCCAUUUCCAGUCCCAACCGAAAGCAGGAAGCAUUGAGACAAGUAAUAAUUCAACUCUUCAGUUGGCUUCCAAAAUUAUCCACAUUCAGGUCACCUGGCAUUCGCACCAAAGUGAGAUGGCAGGACCAGCAGACAAUGCAGCCUUAUGAUUCAAACAGAAGAAACACUCAUCUUGAUUCCUGUGUGCUGUUUGCCAGGAGAGUUAUCACCACUUGCGGGUGCACAAGCAUUGUGAGCUUGGCCAGAGUUCACAGCUCAGUGGAACCCACCAGGCAACCCUACAGCAUUUCCUGUCGUUCCCUUUGCCUCCCAGCUCUGUCCCUGCUGGGGGCCUACUGCUUAGACAUUCUCCAUCUGUGAUUCCUUUGAGUGCAGCUCAGACAUUUCCACACCUUCUUCUCCACAUACACAGAGUGGAGACAGACCCUUCAGAGGCUGGAGGUGGAGACUUCCAACAGAGCCAGCGCAACUCCAUCCUUUCAAAAAUGGAGAAAUGAGGCCUGAGAAGUGAGGUGAAUUGCUGCCUGGAUGCAUUCAUGCCAUCUUCCUAUUAACGAGAGAUGUUACCAA